CACGUAGGGGGCGAGCGUUGUCCGGAAUCAUUGGGCGUAAAGAGCUCGUAGGCGGCUCAGUAAGUCGGGUGUGAAACCCUCAGGCUCAACCUGGGGACGCCACCCGAUACUGCUGUGGCUAGAGUCCAGUAGGGGAGUGUGGAAUUCCCGGUGUAGCGGUGAAAUGCGCAGAUAUCAGGAGGAACACCGAUGGCGAAGGCAGGUCUCUGGGCCGAUACUGACGCUGAGGAGCGAAAGCGUGGGGAGCGAACAGG
rnacentral:rRNA from 1 species